GAACCACAUAAGCGCCGCCUCUAGGACGUCGGGAAAAGACCGGCGCGACCUCUGCUAUCGCCGUAGUUGUCUCCUCCACCCUCUCACGCCUCUUUGAAGCUUCUCACAGUUACAAAUAGCGAAUAGACCUCAAGAAGGAACACAACGACACUAAUGAUUUCUCCUUCUAACUCAACAGAUAAAAGAUCUGUCCAAGGUCCAUGGAUGAAUUCAGCAUUCAACAGCCCCCCAAUGGCUCCAAAUAUCUAUGAAAAAUUGUUUGCUACUGUGUUGAUUCAAUGAAUUACUUCGGAAGCUGAGAUGAAAAUUAAGAAGGAUUGGAAGUUGUCAGAAGAACAAGGACAAAUUUCUAUAGAAAUAGAUAGAACGCUCCAAGAACAAAUGAGAUUAAAAGUGGUGGAUUCUAUAAUGUCGAGAAUUCAACAGGUAAACACAUUGGUAUCUAUUUCGACCUUUUGUUGUAACUGCAACUCUUAAGCACAAGUCGCCAAUUGUUAGUUCUAUGUAAUAAAUCUUGAGCUAUUCAACAUACUCCCCCAGAUGCACUUCUUCAUUGUUUCUCUUCUUGCAUCGAACUAGCUUGUGUUCUUCAAUUUUGUGAAGGAAUUGAAAAACAACUGAUAAAUAGAAUGCAUUUGGUGAACUCGGUGUUGAAUUUAUUGUACCACCAGCAAGUUUGGUGAUGUCAGCUUGUGCACUGUCUUUUUCUAAUAACUUUAUAACUGCCCUUUUUCUAUUAUCGCUCUUUUAUAACCAUCUCUUUUCUAUUAACAUUAUGAUUAUGUUAAUAAUAAAAGUGAUCUUGUGUAUUUUCCUAAUAGGGGCAAGGCAAGGUUCUUGCAUUAUCUAAAAAGCCAUCGACAAAGGAGGGGAGCUUGAAGACACUUAAUAGUUAAUUUUCUUUUUCAUUUGUGUAUAUGCAUAUAUAAAUGACAUUGAACAAUGAAUUAUUGUGAAUUAUAUAUUUUGUUGAUUUUUUUAGUAAUAGAAGUACUUGUUAUAUC